UACGGGAGGCAGCGGUGAGGAAUAUUGGACAAUGGGGGCAACCCUGAUCCAGCCAUGCCGCGUGAGUGAAGAAGGCCUUAGGGUUGUAAAGCUCUUUCACCGGUGAAGAUAAUGACGGUAACCGGAGAAGAAGCCCCGGCUAACUUCGUGCCAGCAGCCGCGGUAAU
rnacentral:rRNA from 1 species